CCUACGGGCGGCAGCAGUGAGGAAUAUUGGUCAAUGGGCUUACGCCUGAACCAGCCAAGUCGCGUGAGGGAAGACUGCCCUAUGGGUUGUAAACCUCUUUUGUCAGGGAGCAACGCCUGCUACGUGUAGCCGGACUGAGAGUACCUGAAGAAAAAGCAUCGGCUAACUCCGUUCCAGCCGCCUCGGUAAUACGGAGGAUGCGAGCGUUAUCCGGAUUUAUUGGGUUGAAAGGUUGCGUAGGCGGAAUGCAAAGUCAGCGGUAAAAUCGCGGGGCUCAACCGCGCUACGCCGUUGAAACUGGCGGUCUUGAGUGGGCGAGAAGUAUGCGGAAUGCGUGGUGUAGCGGUGAAAUGCAUAGAUAUCACGCAGAACUCCGAUUGCGAAGGCAGCAUACCGGCGCCCAACUGACGCUGAAGCACGAAAGCGUGGGUAUCGAACAGGAUUAGAUACCCGUGUAGUC
rnacentral:rRNA from 1 species